CAGUAGCCGCGGUAAUACGUAGGGUGCAAGCGUUAAUCGGAGUUACUGGGCGUAAAGGGCGCGUAGGCGGACAUUUAAGUCGGGGGUGAAAGCCCGGGGCUCAACCUCGGAAUUGCCUUCGAUACUGGCUGUCUUGAGUACGGGAGAGGUGUGUGGAACUCCGAGUGUAGAGGUGAAAUCCGUAGAUAUUCGGAAGAACACCAGUGGCGAAGGCGGCUCACUGGCUCAUACUGGACGCUGAGGUGCGAAAGCGUGGGGAGCAAACAGGAUUAGAUACCCCUGUAGUCCCUGUCUCUUAUAA
rnacentral:rRNA from 1 species